rnacentral:rRNA from 1 species
CCUACGGGAGGCAGCAGUGAGGAAUAUUGGUCAAUGGCCGUAAGGCUGAACCAGCCAAGUCGCGUGAAGGAAGAAGGAUCUAUGGUUGUUAAACUUCUUGUAGAGGGGAGUAAAGGUAUCCACGUGUGGAUGUUUGCAUGGACCCUAUGAAUAAGCAUCGGCUAACUCCAUGCCAGCAGCGGCGGUAAUACGGAGUAUGCGAGCGUUAUCCGGAUUUAGUGGGGUUAAAGGGUGCGUAGGUUGUUUUGUAAGUUAGUGGUGAAAGUUUGUGGUUUAACCAUAAACUUGCCGUUGAAACUGGAAGACUUGAGUGUGUUUGAGGCAGGCGGAAUGCGUGGUGUAGCGGUGAAAUGCAUAGAUAUCACGCAGAACUCCGAUUGCGAAGGCAGCUUACUAAGCCAUAACUGACACUGAAGCACGAAAGCGUGGGGAUCAAACAGGAUUAGAUACCCCGGUAGUC